rnacentral:rRNA from 1 species
GGCUCAGAACGAACGCUGGCGGCGUGCCUAAUACAUGCAAGUCGGGCGGGGUUUUGGGAGGCUUGCCUUUCGAAACCCAGCGGCGAACGGGUGAGUAACACGUGGGUAACCUGCCCGCAAGACCGGGAUAACUCCGGGAAACCGGAGCUAAUACCGGAUAGGACCCCGGGUCGCAUGAUCCGGGGUGGAAAGGCGGCGUCAAGCUGCCACUUGCGGAUGGGCCCGCGGCGCAUUAGCUAGUUGGUGAGGUAACGGCUCACCAAGGUGACGAUGCGUAGCCGACCUGAGAGGGUGACCGGCCACACUGGGACUGAGACACGGCCCAGACUCCUACGGGAGGCAGCAGUGGGA